AGGGGGGUAUAUGUCUUCGGAUAUAGAGACCGGCGCACGGGUGCGUAACGCGUAUGCAAUCUACCUUUUACAGAGGGAUAGCCCAGAGAAAUUUGGAUUAAUACCUCAUAGUAUAGCUCUACCGCAUGGUAGUACUAUUAAAGUCACAACGGUAAAAGAUGAGCAUGCGUCCCAUUAGCUAGUUGGUAAGGUAACGGCUUACCAAGGCAACGAUGGGUAGGGGUCCUGAGAGGGAGAUCCCCCACACUGGUACUGAGACACGGACCAGACUCCUACGGGAGGCAGCAGUGAGGAAUAUUGGACAAUGGGCGCAAGCCUGAUCCAGCCAUGCCGCGUGCAGGAUGACGGUCCUAUGGAUUGUAAACUGCUUUUGUACGAGAAGAAACACUGCUUCGUGAAGCAGCUUGACGGUAUCGUAAGAAUAAGGAUCGGCUAACUCCGUGCCAGCAGCCGCGGUAAUACGGAGGAUCCAAGCGUUAUCCGGAAUCAUUGGGUUUAAAGGGUCCGUAGGCGGUUUAGUAAGUCAGUGGUGAAAGCCCAUCGCUCAACGGUGGAACGGCCAUUGAUACUGCUGAACUUGAAUUAUUAGGAAGUAACUAGAAUAUGUAGUGUAGCGGUGAAAUGCUUAGAGAUUACAUGGAAUACCAAUUGCGAAGGCAGGUUACUACUAAUUGAUUGACGCUGAUGGACGAAAGCGUGGGGAGCGAACAGGAUUAGAUACCCUGGUAGUCCACGCCGUAAACGAUGGAUACUAGCUGUUGGGAGCAAUCUCAGUGGCUAAGCGAAAGUGAUAAGUAUCCCACCUGGGGAGUACGUUCGCAAGAAUGAAACUCAAAGGAAUUGACGGGGGCCCGCACAAGCGGUGGAGCAUGUGGUUUAAUUCGAUGAUACGCGAGGAACCUUACCAAGGCUUAAAUGUAGAUUGACCGGUUUGGAAACAGAUCUUUCGCAAGACAAUUUACAAGGUGCUGCAUGGUUGUCGUCAGCUCGUGCCGUGAGGUGUCAGGUUAAGUCCUAUAACGAGCGCAACCCCUGUUGUUAGUUGCCAGCGAGUCAUGUCGGGAACUCUAACAAGACUGCCAGUGCAAACUGUGAGGAAGGUGGGGAUGACGUCAAAUCAUCACGGCCCUUACGCCUUGGGCUACACACGUGCUACAAUGGCCGGUACAGAGAGCAGCCACUGGGCGACCAGGAGCGAAUCUAUAAAACCGGUCACAGUUCGGAUCGGAGUCUGCAACUCGACUCCGUAAGCUGGAAUCGC
rnacentral:rRNA from 1 species